UUAAGUAAGAAAGGGCGUACGGUGGAUGCCUAGGCACUUGAAACUGAAGAAGGACGCAACAAACGGCGAAACGCGGCGGGGAGCUGUACGUAAGCAAAGAUCCGCCGGUAUCCGAAUGGGGGAACCCGGCAUGCGUAAUAGCGUGUCAUCCGCAGAUGAACAAAUAGUCUGCGAGAGAGGUACCCGGGGAACUGAAACAUCUAAGUACCCGGAGGAAAAGAAAACAACAGUGAUUCCCUGAGUAGCGGCGAGCGAAAGGGGAGGAGCCCAAACCAGACCGAGGUCUGGGGUUGAAGGACCGCGAUACGGCAAGAAUCAUGGUAGGAGAACGGCAUUGAAAGGCCGACCGGAGAGGGUGCAAGUCCCGUAUCCGAAACCGUGAGGAAGCCCAGCGGGAUCCUGAGUACGGCGAGACACGAGAAAUCUUGUCGGAAGCAGGCGGGACCAUCCGUCAAGGCUAAAUAUAAGCAAGUGACCGAUAGUGAACCAGUACCGUGAGGGAAAGGUGAAAAGAACCGCGGGAGCGGAGUGAAAUAGAACCUGAAACCGUAUGCUUACAAGAAGUCAGAGCACGUUAAGGUGUGAUGGCGUGCCUUUUGUAGAAUGAACCGGCGAGUUAUGUUAUCGUGCGAGGUUAAGCAGGAGAUGCGGAGCCGAAGCGAAAGCGAGUCUUAAUAGGGCGGCAGUACGAUGACAUAGACCCGAAACCGUGUGAUCUAGCCAUGACCAGGUUGAAGUUCAGGUGAAACUGAAUGGAGGACCGAACCGACCCCCGUUGAAAAGUUGGCGGAUGAGUUGUGGCUAGGGGAGAAAUUCCAAUCGAACACGGAUAUAGCUGGUUCUCCCCGAAAUAGCUUUAGGGCUAGCGUCGAGGAUGAGUCUUGUGGAGGUAGAGCACUGAAUGUACGAUGGCCCCAUCCCGGGGUACUGAGUAUAAUCAAACUCCGAAUGCCAUGAGAUAUUCCCGGCAGUCAGACCGUGGGUGAUAAGGUCCAUGGUCAAAAGGGAAACAGCCCAGACCGCCAGUUAAGGUCCCAAAAUGUAUGCUAAGUGGAAAAGGAUGUGGGGAUGCACAGACAACUAGGAGGUUGGCUCAGAAGCAGCCAUCCUUCAAAGAGUGCGUAACAGCUCACUAGUCGAGUGACCCUGCGCCGAAAAUGUACCGGGGCUAAGCAUACUACCGAAGCUGCGGAUUUGUAGUAAUACAAGUGGUAGGGGAGCGUUCCAUGCACGUGGAAGCCAUACCGUAAGGAGUGGUGGAGAGCAUGGAAGUGAGAAUGCCGGUGUGAGUAGCGAGAUGCAGGUGAGAAUCCUGCACACCGAUAGCCCAAGGAUUCCAGGGGAAGGUUCGUCCGCCCUGGGUAAGUCGGGACCUAAGGCGAGGCCGAAAGGCGUAGUCGAUGGAAAACAGGCAGAUAUUCCUGUACCCGCGAUGGAAAUGAAGGAAUGACGGAGAAGGCUAGCAUGAGCCACUUAUUGGAUUGUGGUCGAAGCGAAUAGCAGGUGCACAGUAAAAUGCGUGCACGGGAUGUAAAACGUGACAGGUAAGCGAAACCCCUGGGGAGUAGCGAAGCAUGCGAGGCCAGCUUCCAGGAAAAGUUUCUAGUGCUAAUUCCAUAGCGGCCCGUACCAAAACCGACACAGGUGGGCAAGGAGAGUAUCCUGAGGUGAGCGAGAGAACUGUUGCCAAGGAACUCGGCAAAAUGACUCCGUAAGUUAGCGAGAAGGAGUGCUUAUGAAAGUAAGCCGCAGUGAAGAGGCCCAAGCGACUGUUUAACUAAAACACAGCUCUCUGCGAAGUCGCAAGACGAAGUAUAGGGGGUGACGCCUGCCCGGUGCUGGAAGGUUAAGAGGAUUUGUCAGUUUCGACGAAGCAAUGAAUUGAAGCCCCAGUGAACGGCGGCCGUAACUAUAACGGUCCUAAGGUAGCGAAAUUCCUUGUCAGGUAAG
rnacentral:rRNA from 1 species